rnacentral:SRP_RNA from 1 species
GCUAGGUGUGGUGGCGCACACCUGUAGUCCCAGCUACUUGGGAGGCUGAGGUGGGAGAAUUGCUUGAGCUCAGGAGGUCGAGGCUGCAGUGAGCCAUGACUGCACCACUGCACUCCAGCCCAGGAUACAGAGCAAGACCCUGUCUCCA